rnacentral:tRNA from 1 species
AGUGUUGUGGCUCAUAGGUAGAGUACUCACUUAGUAUGUGUGAGGCCCUGAGUUUGAUCCUCAGCACCACAU